GAAGGAAGUGAGGUCAUCAAAGUUCCUCCUAUAUAAACAUGCACUUAGCCUCCAUGCUUCAUUGCAUGAUCACUGGCUCACUCCUGAUCACUAUUUGGAAGGUAUCAUAUCCAUAGGAUACCAUAAGGACUCUGUAUAGAUUUCUGCAUUUUUCACCUGUAUUGUGACUUCUGAGGUCCUCCAUGUGUGCAUGAAGUUGCCGAUUCCUCUUUUUUUCAUACGAAUGCUUCCCUUUUGAGCUCUUCGUAAUCUGAGUUACCAGAUUCACGAGGCUGACUUUAUGUCCUUAUUUCACGCCUCAUUGAUGUUUGGAAGCCCACGUAUGAACCUAUUCGGCCAAUGAUCUAGGCCUAUCACUCUUUUGGAUAGACAUUAUUAUCUAAGACGCACCCCUGAUGAAGUCCUAGUUCCUAGACGAAACGCGUUGGGUUACUGUAUUUCUUGUUAUCUCCGAAUAUUUAAUGAGGAAGAAUAAGGAUACAACAAAAAGGUUGCCUUCUUUCCUCCAUAUCCCAUUGAUGGAUUUCUGUAGGAGAAACUACAUCAUAAUGUACAUGUAAUAAUGAUGGAUAUACUUCAUGUUUCUGUAUAAUUGUUUUAAUAAAUUUUUAUGAAAAGUA